rnacentral:rRNA from 1 species
AGAGUUUGAUCAUGGCUCAGAUUGAACGUUGGCGGCACGCCUAAUACAUGCAAGUCGAACGAGAAAGUACCUUCGGGUAUGAGUACAGUGGCGGACGGGUGAGUAACGCGUAGGAAUCUACCUUCAGGCGGGGGACAACUCGGGGAAACUCGAGCUAAUACCGCAUAAUACCUAAGGGUCAAAGUGGGGGAUCUUCGGACCUCACGCCAGGAGAGGAGCCUGCGUUAGAUUAGCUAGUUGGUGGGGUAAAAGCCUACCAAGGCUACGAUCUAUAGCUGGUCUGAGAGGACGAUCAGCCACACUGGAACUGAGACACGGUCCAGACUCCUACGGGAGGCAGCAGUAGGGAAUCUUGGGCAAUGGGCGAAAGCCUGACCCAGCGAUGCCGCGUGUGCGAAGAAGGCCUUAGGGUUGUAAAGCACUUUCAGUCGUGAAGAAAAGCUUAAAGUUAAUAGCUUUGAGUCUUGACGUUAACGACAGAAGAAGAUCCGGCUAACUCCGUGCCAGCAGCCGCGGUAAUACGGAGGGAUCGAACGUUAAUCGGAAUUACUGGGCGUAAAGCGCGCGUAGGCGGUUUGAUAAGUGGGAUGUGAAAGCCCCGGGCUUAACCUGGGAACUGCAUUCCAAACUGUCAAACUAGAGUAUGGUAGAGGGUGGUAGAAUUUCCUGUGUAGCGGUGAAAUGCGUAGAUAUAGGAAGGAAUACCGAUGGCGAAGGCAGCCACCUGGACCAAUACUGACGCUGAGGUGCGAAAGCGUGGGGAGCAAACAGGAUUAGAUACCCUGGUAGUCCACGCCGUAAACGAUGACAACUAGCCGUUGGGACCCUUGAGGUCUUGGUGGCGAAGCUAACGCGAUAAGUUGUCCGCCUGGGGAGUACGGCCGCAGGUUAAACUCAAUGAUUGACGGGGCCCCACAGCGGGGAGAUGUUGUUAUUCGAUGCACGCGA